AUUGAACGCUGGCGGAAUGCUUUACACAUGCAAGUCGAACGGCAGCACGGACUUCGGUCUGGUGGCGAGUGGCGAACGGGUGAGUAAUGUAUCGGAACGUGCCCAGUCGUGGGGGAUAACGUAGUGAAAAUUACGCUAAUACCGCAUACGAUCUAUGGAUGAAAGCGGGGGAUCGCAAGACCUCGCGCGAUUGUAGCGGCCGAUAUCAGAUUAGGUAGUUGGUGGGGUAAAGGCCCACCUAGCCAACGAUCUGUAGCUGGUCUGAGAGGACGACCAGCCACACUGGAACGGAGACACGGUCCAGACUCCUACGGGAGGCAGCAGUGGGGAAUUUUGGACAAUGGGCGAAAGCCUGAUCCAGCCAUUCCGCGUGCAGGAUGAAGGCCCUCGGGUUGUAAACUGCUUUUGUACAGAACGAAAAGGUUUCUACUAAUACUAGGAGCUCAUGACGGUACUGUAAGAAUAAGCACCGGCUAACUACGUGCCAGCCGCCGCGGUAA
rnacentral:rRNA from 1 species